UACAGGGGGGGCAAGCGUUGUUCGGAAUUACUGGGCGUAAAGGGCCAGUAGGCGGCCGACUAAGUCCGACGUGAAAUCCCCGGGCUUAACCUGGGAACUGCGUCGGAUACUGGAUGGCUUGAAUUCGGGAGAGGGAUGCAGAAUUCCAGGUGUAGCGGUGAAAUACGUAGAUAUCUGGAGGAAUACCGGUGGCGAAGGCGGCAUCCUGGACCGACAUUGACGCUGAACGGCGAAAGCUAGGGGAGCAAACGGG
rnacentral:rRNA from 1 species